UGGCGUCAAGACGUGAGCUGGCGGCGUGCCUAUCUGCAGUCGAGCGGAAGGUGGGACUUGCUCCCUGAUGUUAGUGGCGGACGGGUGAGUAACACGUGGGUGACCUGCCCGGCACAUUGGGAUAACUUUGGGAAACUGGGGCUAAUACCGGAUGGUUGUUUUCUUGGAUGUUGUGGUGGAAAGCUGUGGCUUCGGGUACCACUUAUGAUGGACCCGCGGCGCAUUAGCUAGUUGGUGAGGUAACGGCUCACCAAGGCAACGAUGCGUAGCCGACCUGAGAGGGUGAUCGGCCACACUGGGACUGAGACACGGCCCAGACUCCUACGGGAGGCAGCAUUAGGGAAUCUUCCGCAAUGGACGAAAGUCUGACGGAGUAACGCCGCGUGAGUGAUGAAGGUUUUCGGAUCGUAAAGCUCUGUUGUUAGGGAAGAACAGGUACCGUUCGAAUAGGGCGGUACCUUGACGGUACCUAACCAGAAAGCCACGGCUAACUACGUGCCAGCAGUCGCGGUAAUACGUAGGUGGCAAGCGUUGUCGGGAAUUAUUGGGCGUAAAGGGCUCGCACGCGGGUUUCUUCUGGUCAGUAACUGACGUUGAGGAGCGAAAGCAUGGGGAGGCGAACAGGAUUAGAUACCUUGGUAGUCACGCCGUAAACGAUGAGGCGCUAAGUGUAGGGGCUUCCACCUCUUUAGUGCUGCAAGCUAACGCAUUAAGCACCUCCCGCUGGGGAAGUACGGUCGCAAGAGCUGAAAACUCAAAAGGAAUUGACGGGGGCCCGCACAAGCGGUCGAAGCAUGUUGGAUUAAUUGGAAGCAAACGCGAGAACCCUAACAGGUGCUUGACACUCGUAUGACAAUCCUAGAGAUAUGAUCUCUCCUUCGUGGGCAGAAUGCCAGGUGUGUGCAUGGUGGUCGUCAGUUCGUCGUGAAGAUGUUGGUUUAAGUCCCGCAAGAAGCGCAACCUUUUAUUAUAGUUGCCACCAUUCAGGGGGGCACUUCAAGGGGGACGCCGGGGACAAACUGGGGGAAGGGGGGGGAGACGUUAAAUCCUCCAUCCCCUUAUGACCCAGGGUUCCCCCCUGCUUCAAUGGACAGAACCAAGGGCAGGGAACCCGCGAGGGUAAGGCAAUUCCACAAAUCUGUUCUCAUUUUGGAUCGCAGUCUGCAAACUCGACCCCAGAAGCUGGGAUCGCUAGUAAUCGCGGAACAGCAUGCGGCGGGGAAAACGUUCCCCGGCCCCGUACACACCCCCCGCCACACCACGAGAGUUUGUAACACCGGAAGUCGCAGAGGUAACCACUAGGAGCCAGCCGCCGAAGGUGGACAGAGAUGGGGGAAGUCGUAACAAGGUAGCCGACCGAAUGAUUAA
rnacentral:rRNA from 1 species